UUACAUGCGGUGCGGUGCGGUGCAGCGCCGGAAGUCGUUUUUCCCUGUUGGCGAAAUCUGCGAACAUGGCGCAGAAGAGGAUGUCGUUUUACACUCGAUGUUUACAGGAGCUUCCCCAGGUUACUGGUAACGAUGUUAAUAGCAUUGUGAGGAGGAGAAUGGCUUUAAAUGACAAGUUUCGAGUUACAUCGACAACUUUUAGGUAAGGAUCAAGGUGACAGGAGAGAUAAGCGUGAGGGUGACAUGUUUCCGGUCGACGAGGAACUCAGAGAAGCCACAAAGUUGGAGAGUUGGAGGACACUCAAAAAGAAAAAAGAUGCCUUUGAGCUUAAAUCUGAAUUACACGCUCAUUACAUACAGAAGUUUUUGAGGGUUCCUACAUCUAUAAGAAGAUAGGCAUAGUGAAACUAUUCAUCAGAAAGGUUCAUAAGUGCUUUAGUUUUUAAAUUUAGGGAUAUAACUCAUUACAGUGUAUGGUAUGAUUAAAUAUAUUCACAUAGAUUAUUAAUUCAUAACUCUUGCUAUGGUUUAAUUUACUUAUCUUCACAGACUGUAUUAAAGGACUGCCAUCCUGAAAUAAUGUCCCAAAGCAGUUGUUCCUGUGUUGUUGGAACAGCAUUGUGCAACCACAUUGUUGCACUACUGUACUAUACAGCACACUACUCAUAGCUUGGCAUCAGUGCAGUUCCUCCUGUUCAUAGCUGUACUGAAAGGGAGCAGAGCUGGCACAAACCCAGAACAAUGGGAGUCAAGCCAGGUCCUGUCAGUGGAAUGGUGGUCCUGUCUGUAAGACCCAAGAGAGGAAACUUGCUGAGGGGUUAAGGAGCAACAUCCCCACAUUCAUCAAUGUAGCAUUUUACAUAAACUCCACCUUUUUUUUACUAUACUCAUAAUUUACAAAAGACUUACUGGAUGAGAUCAGCCCUAGAGAUAAAAAUGGACUUUCCCAAUACCAGUGUCAAAAAUUAAUGUUUUAUUAGGAGCAAUAUUUGCCUGGAAUUGUUUUUCAGGGGCAUUUGAGAGCAAUAUGAGGGCAUGUUUUUUCUAACCUUAUAAAAACGCAGCAAUACUUCAAACCCAUACUAGGGAUGCACCGAUCUGAUACCUGGAACGGUAUUGGCUCCGAUACUGAAGCUUUUAAACGAUCGGGUAUCGGUCCAACGAGCCCGAUCGAAAUCUGAUACUGUGUGUUAGUCAUGUUCGUUACUGUCAAGCUUAAUAAAUGACAUAAAAGAACCAUAAAAACACAAAGUUGUUCAUAUAACUCGUGCAUUUUAUUCAAAGCCACUUGAAGAUGUACAAUAGCUCUGUGAAUCACAAAAGGCUGUGUUUAAUAAUAAAUGUAUAAAAUACACGCACAACUCCAGCGCGUCAGUGAAUGGCGCUGCUCUGUUUACACACACUCGCGGCUAUUUUUAGCCUUCACGCGGUGCGCAAUAUUUGAGUGCUACUCACGAACAACAUCUCAGAUGUAGAUGCUCAAUCGUUCGGUUCACUUAUAAUAUGCAUUUAGAAUGGCACUGGAGGUGCUUUUUUUUUUUUUUUACAUUUUUUUUAUACCAGAAUUUGAAUAAGAAGUGAAUUAAACUACUGUGAACUUGCCUACAAACAGACACACAGGACUUCCUGGAGAGUUCAGAAUGUCAAAAUAAAAGCGUGAGGGUUUAAAAAUUAAAGGUGCACGAUUGAGAUAUAUUACUAUUAUAAUUUAUUAUUAUUAUUAUUAUUAUUAUUAUUAUUAUCAUUUGUUUACAAAUAAUAAUAAUAUUUAAGUUGAAUGGGUUUCAAAAAUCACUGAAUGAAAAGUGAGCUGAUAUCUUACAACUAAAUUGAACAAAAAAAAAAGAGAUCUGAAUCCUUUAAAGUCCAGAUUACAAGGACUUUGUUACUGAUGACUUAUACUGGAAUUACUGUUAAUUUUGCUGCUACAUUAUCCAGUAUACUAGUUAACAAAGUUUUUCUUAAGCAAUACAUUUAUAUUGAAAUAAUGUGUAGUUAGAGGUUUGUGUUUCUUUACAUAUUAAAGAGCACACCCAAUUAGUUCCACACAAUAAUGUAAAGAUAUUCUAAAUUGAUUAUGCAAAAAAAACAACAACACUGGUAUCGGAUCGGUAUCGCCGAUACUGAGAUUUCCGAUAUCGGAAUCAGAUCGGAAGAGAAAAAGUGGUAUCGGUGCAUCCCUAACCCAUACUAUACCAUACCCAUACUAAGGAAUGAAAAUAGACUAUAAUGAAAAAUAUCAAAGGUCAGACAACAAAUUAAACUAAGGAAACUUUGCUCAGUUUCUGACCCUGCCUAAUACUUUUUUCUGUAUUACUGCAGUGCAGGUAACACUGUAUUGAAGUUAUUUAAAUUUACAUGUUUACAUUACAGCAUUGCAGGUAACACUGUAACAAAGUUAUUUAUAUUUACAUGUUUACAUUAUUAACAUUUGUACAAAUAAAAGCAAAUUUAUCCAUC